rnacentral:lncRNA from 1 species
UUCACAAUUUGUUUUGUUUUUUCAUCACAUUAACCCAUCUUUGUCUAUAUAAACUCUCAUUUUCUUUAUUUCUAUUUUUUAUGGUCAUUUUUUUAAAACAACAUAUCAUGAUAUCAAUACAUUAUAUUUUAGAAUAUUAGAAGUAAAAAAACUCUAAUAUCAAUACAUUACAAUUUAUGUCAAUAAAAUUAAUCAUAAAAAAUCUCCAUAUUCUCUUAUUUAAAUGUUUAAAAGAUAUAUUUAAUUUUUAAAAAUGGUAUAAAAN